CACUAGUGAUUCUCCUGGAAACGGGUGGUAAUGCCGGAUGCUCCAGUCCAUCGCAUGGUGGUCUGGGAAAGAUUUCAUCGGUAUGGGAUGGGGUCGCGUCCUAUCAGGUAGUCGGCGGGGUAACGGCCCACCGAGCCUACGACGGGUAGCCGGCCUGAGAGGGCGACCGGCCACAUUGGGACUGAGAUACGGCCCAGACUCCUACGGGAGGCAGCAGUGGGGAAUAUUGCACAAUGGGCGCAAGCCUGAUGCAGCGACGCCGCGUGCGGGAUGACGGCCUUCGGGUUGUAAACCGCUUUUGAUCGGGAGCAAGCCUUCGGGUGAGUGUACCUUUCGAAUAAGCACCGGCUAACUACGUGCCAGCAGCCGCGGUAAUACGUAGGGUGCAAGCGUUAUCCGGAAUUAUUGGGCGUAAAGGGCUCGUAGGCGGUUCGUCGCGUCCGGUGUGAAAGUCCAUCGCUUAACGGUGGAUCCGCGCCGGGUACGGGCGGGCUUGAGUGCGGUAGGGGAGACUGGAAUUCCCGGUGUAACGGUGGAAUGUGUAGAUA
rnacentral:rRNA from 1 species